UGGUGUUUUCAUAAAAAAUGUAAAAUUGGGUAGGGCUAGUAGCUCAGAGAAUUCCUUCUAUUAUCAUGAUAUUCUGUUUUGAUUUGGUACUCACAUCAAGAGACCUUCAUUUAUAAAUACAAGUGUCAUAAAUGAGUUAACUAAUAAUUUUUUUCAUUUUUUGUAUUUUCACUGACAUUUGACUCUUUUUUUUUCAGGUAUGCACAACAUGCCACCAAGAAGAAUCCAUGUUAUUGGAAUCUAA
rnacentral:lncRNA from 1 species